rnacentral:rRNA from 1 species
GCGCACCAGUCGCGAAUCUUCCGCAAUGGGCGCAAGCCUGACGGAGCGACGCUGCGUGCGGGAAGAAGGCCUUCGGGUUGUAAACCGCUUUUCUGGCCGAUCAAGUCCAUUUUAUUAUGGAUUGAGCGUAGGCCAGGAAUAAGGGGUCGCUAAACUCGUGCCAGCAGCGGCGGUAAGACGAGUGCCCCAAGCGUUAUCCGGAGUUACUGGGCUAAAGCGUCUGUAGGCGGCCUAUUAAGUUUCUGGUUAAAAUCCCC